rnacentral:rRNA from 1 species
ACCUGGUUGAUCCUGCCAGUAGUCAUAUGCUUGUCUCAAAGAUUAAGCCAUGCAUGUCUAAGUAUAAGCGACUUGUACUGUGAAACUGCGAAUGGCUCAUUAAAUCAGUUAUGGUUUAUUUGAUGGUACCUUACUACUUGGAUAACCGUAGUAAUUCUAGAGCUAAUACAUGCAGGAAUUCCCGACUUCGGAAGGGAUGUAUUUAUUAGAUAAGAAACCAACUCCCUCUGGGAUUGUGUGCUGAGUCAUAAUAACUGCUCGAAUCGCAUGGCUUUACGCCGGCGAUGGUUCAUUCAAAUUUCUGCCCUAUCAGCUUUCGAUGGUAGGAUAGAGGCCUACCAUGGCGUUUACGGGUAACGGAGAAUUAGGGUUCGAUUCCGGAGAGGGAGCCUGAGAAAUGGCUACCACAUCCAAGGAAGGCAGCAGGCGCGUAAAUUGCCCGAAUCCUGACACAGGGAGGUAGUGACAAGAAAUAACAAUACAGGGCUACUUUUAGUCUUGUAAUUGGAAUGAGUACAAUUUACAUCUCUUCACGAGGAUCAAUUGGAGGGCAAGUCUGG